rnacentral:tmRNA from 1 species
GGGGAUGACAGGCUUCGACGGAAGAGGCUGGUCCCGGAAUGCGAGCCGAGAGGCGCCGAACUCGUUAAACCAGCGCAAAAAAUCAAGUGCCAACCGCACUUCCUACGCUGCUAUGCCCCUCGCUGCAUAAGCGAUGAGCAGAUCAGCCGGUCUCCCUAGAAGCGAGGCCGCGUCCGCCUGCCCCGUUCUCCGCCGGGUGGCAGGAUCGGGCGUCAUAAAGGCGGAGUGCCGCACAGGAUGUCGCUAAGUGUGCGAAAGAGGGUCUUCGGAUCCGAGCGACUGGCCGCAGGUCAGCUUUGCCGGCUGUGUGACCUGCGGUGACGAGCCUCAACCGGCUACGCUCGUAGAUUUCCGUGGGUCGAUUCUUUCGGACGCGGGUUCAAUUCCCGCCAUCUCCACCU